ensembl:lncRNA
AUGGCUCCUCUGUUCUCUGUGGUUUAUAAUAGCCACGCAGUUUGGAUGACAGCAAGGUGUGGAAACAGUUAUUGGAAACAGUUUUCCAACAGGCGCCUUUGCCUUUGCCUGCUCCGAGAGGCCUCGCGCGGAAAAGACCGGGCUUUUUGGAUCUGCUGGAGGUGGCCAUGGAUUUCACAUAGGCCAGAUCUUGUGCAUGCAUUCAACGCCUUGUUUGAUGGUGCACAACGACUCAAUGAAGGAAACAUCUGCCUGCGUGUUGCACCGUCUGCACCAGAUCACCACAGCCGGCUAACUGAGGGAGAACUGCUGCACGGCACAUCCACAUCGCUGGAGAAACUGCUGCUGCUCUCUCUCUCUCUCUCACACACACACACACACGUGAAGUUCUGCUUCAGCAUACCACCAGCAUCCUCCACAGCAGCUGUGUGCGUGUGUCUGUUUGUGUAUGUGUGUCAACACAUGAACUUUCUCUUUUCAUCCAGCAGUUGGGAACGUGCCUCAGUCCUCACCACUGGCCAUCAGCUCUGUUCCAUAUUCUUCUGGAGUGCGUGGACGUACACACACACAAGUGCACACAGUUCCUGUGUGGUAAACCUGAUUAGAUGCAGUGGGUUACACUGA